UACGUAGGGGGCAAGCGUUAUCCGGAUUUACUGGGUGUAAAGGGAGCGUAGACGGCCAGACAAGUCUGAAGUGAAAAUCCAGCGCUUAACGUUGGAAGUGCUUUGGAAACUGCCGGGCUGGAGUGCAGGAGGGGCAGGCGGAAUUCCUAGUGUAGCGGUGAAAUGCGUAGAUAUUAGGAGGAACACCAGUGGCGAAAGCGGCUCUCUGGCCUGUAACUGACACUGAGGCUCGAAAGCGUGGGGAGCAAACAGG
rnacentral:rRNA from 1 species